rnacentral:Y_RNA from 1 species
GGCUAGUCCGAAGGUAGUGAGCUGUCUCAGUGGAUUGUCCAUAGUCAGUUAUAGAUUGAACUCCUUGUUCUACUUUCUCCCCUUUCUCACUACUACACGUGACUAGUCUUUA